UAAGAAGUGCUGGUUCUUGACUAGGCCU
rnacentral:piRNA from 1 species